rnacentral:rRNA from 1 species
UACGUAGUUAGCCGUGACUUUCUGGUUGGAUACUGUCACUGCGUGAACAGUUACUCUCACGCACGUUCUUCUCCAACAACAGAGCUUUACGAGCCGAAACCCUUCUUCACUCACGCGGUGUUGCUCCAUCAGGCUUGCGCCCAUUGUGGAAGAUUCCCUACUGCUGCCUCCCGUAGGAGUAUGGACCGUGUCUCAGUUCCAUUGUGGCCGAUCAGUCUCUCAACUCGGCUAUGCAUCAUCGCCUUGGUAAGCCGUUACCUUACCAACUAGCUAAUGCACCGCAGGUCCAUCCCGGAGUGAUAGCCAAAGCCAUCUUUACAAACAAAGCCAUGUGGUCUUUUGUUGUUAUGCGGUAUUAGCUAUCUGUUUACCAAAUUGUUACUCCCCCGCGUCCGGGGCACGGUUACCUACGGUUGUUACCUCCACCCCGUUCCGCCCUACUCACGUGGUGACUCCAACGUCAAUCAAGUGACAAGCACCAUACAAUCAGUUCGGGCCAGUGCGUACGUACG